UACGUAGGGUGCAAGCGUUAAUCGGAAUUACUGGGCGUAAAGGGUUUGUAGGUGGCUGAUUAAGUCAGACGUGAAAUCCCUCAGCUUAACUGGGGAACUGCGUCUGAUACUGGUUAGCUUGAGUGCAGGAGAGGAACGCGGAAUUCCAGGUGUAGCGGUGAAAUGCGUAGAUAUCUGGAGGAACACCGGUGGCGAAGGCGGCAUCCUGGACCAACACUGACGCUGAGUGAGCGAAAGCCAGGGGAGCAAACGGG
rnacentral:rRNA from 1 species